rnacentral:rRNA from 1 species
GCAUAUCCCGGGCCAGGGACGGUGGUGAUAGGGGGGGUGCAAGCUUUAAUGGGAAUGACUGGGCGUAAAGCGGGAGCAGGCGGCUUAUUAAGACAGAUGUGAAAGCCCUAGGCUCAACCUAGGAACUGCAUUUGAAACUAAUAAACUAGAGUAUCGUAGAGGGAGGUAGAAUUCCAGGUGUAGCGGUGAAAUGCGUAGAUAUCUGGAGGAAUACCAGUGGCGAAGGCGACCUCCUGGACGAAAACUGACGCUCAAGCACGAAAGCAUGGGGAGCAAACAGGAUUAGAUACCCCAGUAGUC